AACUCAGCUGGCUAGAGUCACAGCCUUCCAAGCUGUUGGUCGCGGGUUCGAGUCCCGUC
rnacentral:tRNA from 1 species